rnacentral:rRNA from 1 species
ACACUCCUGCGGGAGGCAGCAGUGGGGAAUUUUGGACAAUGGGGGCAACCCUGAUCCAGCAAUGCCGCGUGAGUGAAGAAGGCCUUCGGGUUGUAAAGCUCUUUUGUCAGGGAAGAAACGGUGGUGGCGAAUAACUACUACUAAUGACGGUACCUGAAGAAUAAGCACCGGCUAACUACGUGCCAGCAGCCGCGGUAAUACGUAGGGUGCAAGCGUUAAUCGGAAUUACUGGGCGUAAAGCGUGCGCAGGCGGUUGUGUAAGUCAGAUGUGAAAUCCCCGGGCUCAACCUGGGAAUUGCAUUUGAGACUGCACGGCUAGAGUGUGUCAGAGGGGGGUAGAAUUCCACGUGUAGCAGUGAAAUGCGUAGAUAUGUGGAGGAAUACCGAUGGCGAAGGCAGCCCCCUGGGAUAACACUGACGCUCAUGCACGAAAGCGUGGGGAGCAAACAGGAUUAGAUACCCAGUAGUCCCA